rnacentral:rRNA from 1 species
AGAGGCACCGCCUGCCCAGUGACAAUACAGUUAAACGGCCGCGGUAUCCUGACCGUGCAAAGGUAGCAUAAUCAUUUGUUCCUUAAUUAGGGACUUGUAUGAAUGGCAUCACGAGGGUUUAACUGUCUCUUACAUUUAAUCAAUGAAAUUGACCUUUCCGUGAAGAGGCGGAAAUUAUAAAAUAAGACGAGAAGACCCUAUGGAGCUUAAAUUAUUACUCUCAAUUCUUACAGACCAGCCUAAAUCUACUAGAUACAACAUGACAAGAAAUAUGAAGUAAAAAUUUUGGUUGGGGUGACCUCGGAGCAUAAACUAACCUCCGAAAGACUAUCAUAAAGACUAACAAGUCAAUAUUACCCAAGUCUAAACAUUGACCCAGACUACAUUCUGACCAAUGAACCAAGUUACCCUAGGGAUAACAGCGCAAUCCUAUUAAAGAGUCCAUAUCGAUAAUUAGGGUUUACGACCUCGAUGUUGGAUCAGGACAUCCUAAUGGUGCAGCAGCUAUUAAAGGUUCGUUUGUUCAACGAUUAAAGUCCUACGUGAUC